ACUGUAUCAAAUAAAAUUAACCUGAUCAAAAAAUUACAAUAUGAUAAAGUGAGCUGAUUAGUAGUAAUAACAGAAAUAAAAUUAAAUAAGUGGUGUUAUAGAAGAAGUUUUCAAUUUUGAAAAGGGAUUAUUAUAUCAAGAAAUUUAUAUGUCCACAGUAUGUGUAUUGAUGGUUGUAUAGGUAGAAGGGAAAUUAUUGUUUGGAUGUAGGUGAAAAUUAAAAAAUUUAUAUAGAUUGGAGUUAAGAUAAAGUCAAUCUGAUAGUAGAAAAUGUGAUUCAGGAAUGCAAUUAUUAUGGAACAAUUUUUAUGAAAUUGAGAAAAUUCUUGUGACAAACUGGUGAAUAUGUAAAAUUGAUAAUAAAUAAUUGUAGGAUAACAGGUUGCCCAGUUGAUACAAACUAAAAUUUAAUUAGUAUAGAAAACAAUAGGUGUAAUGAAUGAAAUAGAAUUAAUAAAACAAAAUUAAGAGAAUGAAUAUUGUUAUAAUUUGAUUAAAGAAUGACUGAGUUUAACUGUGAUAAAUGAAAUAAAGUGAUGAAAUGUUAGAUGUGAAGAUAAAAAAUAUAUUUGGAAAAGGUCAAAGACAAAAAGCAAAGGAGUGUGAUGUAGGAUCAAAGCAUAGGUGAAAUGAGUGAAAGAGAAAGAUUGGAGAAGUUGGGUAUGAGGGUUGAACUGAAUGAAGAAAA
rnacentral:lncRNA from 1 species